rnacentral:rRNA from 1 species
AGUGAACGCUGGCGGUAGGCCUAACACAUGCAAGUCGAACGGCAGCACAGUAAGAGCUUGCUCUUACGGGUGGCGAGUGGCGGACGGGUGAGGAAUACAUCGGAAUCUACUUUUUCGUGGGGGAUAACGUAGGGAAACUUACGCUAAUACCGCAUACGACCUACGGGUGAAAGCAGGGGAUCUUCGGACCUUGCGCGAUUGAAUGAGACGAUGUCGGAUUAGCUAGUUGGCGGGGUAAAGGCCCACCAAGGCGACGAUCCGUAGCUGGUCUGAGAGGAUGAUGAGCCACACUGGAACUGAGACACGGUCCAGACUCCUACGGGAGGCAGCAGUGGGGAAUAUUGGACAAUGGGCGCAAGCCUGAUCCAGCCAUACCGCGUGGGUGAAGAAGGCCUUCGGGUUGUAAAGCCCUUUUGUUGGGAAAGAAAAGCAGCAGGUUAAUACCCCGCUGUUCUGACGGUACCCAAAGAAUAAGCACCGGCUAACUUCGUG